CUGGAAGUUCUGCAUGCAACUGGAUGGACAGGGCACGCAGAUGGAAGGUCUGUUCUCAAGUUGUCUGCUUUCCCGCCCAUCAUGACAUCCAAAGCAAGGCAGCCCUGUCAGGAAUGCCUAUUACUCUAGACCCAGUUUAAAGGUGAGACUGUUGAAGAGCAGAGCCGUUAGCUCAGGUGUCUGAGUUUGGAACAGCUGAUAAGUGGCAAGUCUGCGUUUGAAACCCAGCAGCUUGGAUCCAGUGCUUUUGCUCCUGAACUGCAUGCUAUGGACUGUCCGACACUGACUUCCUCCCCAAAUCCUUCCAACACAUCUGUGAGCAAGAUGCUUCUGAUUGGUGUUUGCUAUGGGGAAGAAUAGAGAAAUAAGACAUUCAUUAUUCAU